UACGUAGGCAGCGAGCGUUGUUCGGAAUUACUGGGCGUAAAGUGUGCGCAGGCGGCCGCGCAAGUCGAGUGUGAAAGCCCCGGGCUUAACUUGGGAAUUGCGCUCGAAACUACGUGGCUGGAGUGUGGCAGAGGAAGGUGGAAUUCCAGGUGUAGCGGUGAAAUGCGUAGAGAUCUGGAGGAACACCGAUGGCGAAGGCAGCCUUCUGGGCCAACACUGACGCUCAUGCACGAAAGCGUGGGGAGCAAACAGG
rnacentral:rRNA from 1 species